ACUGAAAAAACGAAUAGAAACCUGUGCUCCCUCCUUCACGCGGCAAUUCCCCUUGUUGCGUUCGUGGUUCGCAAGCAGCCUCCGAUUAGGUUUCGGUUCUCAAAUCUGCUCCUCUAAUGGCGACGGUAGCAUCUGCUGGAAUCAAUGACAUUAGUAAUAGCAAGAAUCCGCUUGGAGAAAACCCUAGUCAAACCCUAGACCCGACGAUUUCUUCCUCGGCCCAGCCUCCUGUCUCUGUUCCGCUGUCGUCAACUGAUGGCGGGUCUUCCAAGGAAGGGGAUGAAUCUAAGGGCUCCGAUAAGACGUCGGUUGAAGGUGAUGGCGAACCUGUUUCUGAUGUCCAGAGGAAAAUGCGCCGCGCUGAGCGUUUUGGGAUUUCGGUGCAAUUGUCUGAAGAAGAAAAACGUAAUUCUCGAGCAGAACGGUUUGGUAUGGGCACCACAACUAAUGGAUUGGGAGCAUCAAAUAAGUCAGAGGAGGUGAAGAGAAAGGCUAGAGCUGAGAGAUUUGGGCUUCCUGCAUCUGUGGCCACUGAUGAUGAGGCAAAGAAGAAAGCUCGACUUGGUAGGUUUUCUUCAACAUCAAAGCCAGACUCCCAGGAGGAAGAAAAGAGGAAAGCAAGGGCAAUCAGGUUUUCUAAUCCAACAUCAAACUCCCUCACACAAGUGGAUGGGAAGGGAAACAUUGAGACGAUUGCAGAUAUUGCAGGCAAGGCUGGAGGUGGUGCCUGAAAAGAACAUUCCCUGUUGAUGGCAAGAUAGCUUUUGCUUGUAAUUUUCUUCUGUUGGUCUAAUAGCUGGUUAUAAUUCCCCGUAAUGGCUUCCAUACCCAUGUUCAUUCCUUUAUAUUAUUAUCUAGUUCAAAAGUCUUCCAUUCUGAGGGCAGAAUCAAUACUGCAAGGUGCUUUGCUCCAUGUUGCUCUGAGACGAGGUUCCCUAGAUUCAGUUGUCAGGUUAUUAAUUCUCUGGUUAGGUGUUAUAGUAAUAGAAAAUACCUCCCUAGGUCAAGCCUAUCUUACAGUUUGUUAAGAAUAUCAGAAAUCUCUGAAUUUUUUAUCCCUCCAAUGUUCUGGUUAUCAUCUUCAGUUUAUAUCUCCCUUGUGAUGGCAAGUUGGAUGUUCAUGAUACCAUUUGAACGGCAGUGCUAGGUUUCCAUGUGCAUUGUUUCCAUCUGAUACUCACUGGUUGAAAUUUACUAAUUUUGUCGAAUUCGCCUUUGGGAUUAGAAAGCUAACAGUUUCUUGCUUUACUUUGAGUUAAUAUCAUCAGGUUUUUAGUUUUAUAGUUAUAAUUUAGUUUGGAUUUUAGGUUGUUUCUUUUUAAUGGUAGGUUUUUCUUUUUGCUGACUGUAAUAAUGUAAGAUUAAUGGCCAAGUCUCAAUGGUAGGAAACUCGCACGUAUCUUUUGACUUUUCUUUUUCAGAAGCAGAUCAAGAGUCUGAGUGCAGCUAGUUAUUAUCCAAUCAUUUACGAUUGAGGUUUGGUUUCUUUGUAUGAUGCCACCACAUCUCAUCUCAUGGCAUCAGUGAUAAUAACUCAUCAUGGAAAUGACUUCUACACUUUUUAGAUGCCUAGUUUUAGUAUGACCUGAAGAAUAGUUCAAUUAGAAUGGUCAUAUGUUGAAUCUUAUUUAGAAAUGCCGUUCAAAAUGUCAUCAUGAGAUAACAGCUCCAGCUUGUGUGAGAAUAAACUGAAGAUAAGUCUUGGGAGGGGAAGUAAUUAUCUAUUCCCUUGGUAAGUUGUCGUGUGGGAGAAGCUGAAUUCCCUCUUCUAACUUGGAAGUUUCUGAUAUUCUUGCUUGGUGUAAUAUAGGAUGGACCGAGUUUUUGGAGGUAUUUGUUGUGGCCCUCUUAGAAGUCUCUGCAUGUAUUGAGGCCUGUAGCUGAGAAUGGAUUGUGUACUCUAAAAAUAGGUGUCUCUGUCAAGUUUCUGUUGUUUCUUCCUUCGUUUCCUUUUAUCUUUAUUUGCAUAGCUAGUCAGCAGCUACGUGUAUUUAGUUUCUUUUGGAUUUUUGGUUGGAUGUAAUGGUAUGGAAUGGCCGCACACAUUUAUCGAGGGAAUCAAUCUUUUGAUCAAAAGUUCUUUUUA